rnacentral:rRNA from 1 species
UACAGAGGGGGCAAGCGUUAUUCGGAAUUAUUGGGCGUAAAGGGCGCGUAGGCGGCUUUGCAAGUGACGGGUGAAAUCCCUCGGCUUAACCGAGGAACUGCCUGUCAGACUGUAAGGCUUGAGACCGGGAGAGGUGAGUGGAAUUCCCAGUGUAGCGGUGAAAUGCGUAGAUAUUGGGAGGAACACCAGUGGCGAAGGCGGCUCACUGGACCGGUACUGACGCUGAGGCGCGAAAGCCAGGGGAGCAAACGGG